AGACCAGCACUAUCGCAGGCAUCUAACAAGAGCUAUCUAGGCUGCAUGUGGUUGACCUCAUCGGAGCCUUGGACAGCCCGUAGACAGCUGCUUCGGUUCUACCUGAGGUGGCGAUUUCAGUCAUUGACUGGGACUGAGCCACACGCAAGUGCUCCAAUGUAAGCAUCCUGUUUUCAUCCAUUCUUGAGUAAAAACAAUAACAAGAGCCAUACAAUUAAGAGACAUAUCCUGGCAAAUGCAGGAGCUGUCGGUUUGAGGUUCCCAGGCCUUUUUGAUCCAGGAGUUGUAACAACAUGCGCAAUUAGGCUGAUUUAGCGGAAGCGCUCACUCCGACUUACUUUCACCCGCGACCCACGGAAGCGACCAGCCGCUUCGGUCUCCCACGGACGCAUUUACUUCAUCAAGCCGUUCUUACGGCCACCAGUAAAUGUUCUCCGCAGUUAAGAGCCCUGGGGAGCGUAAAGCGCUGCUCUCGUGUAAAUACUUGAGAUUAAAUGUGCUGCGAGCGCGAGCGACCGCUCCAGAUGUUGCGUCUGUCACGGCAGGACAGGAAAUCAACUUUGCCACCAGGGGAGAUGAAGAACUAGCUUUUCGCUUAUGCCAGCCGUCUUAGGGAUCUUCCCAUGCCACCUGACAGCAUGCAAGCCAAAGACACGGGCAGUGAUGGAGCCAACCUUCUGACAUCAUCAACAGACUCCAAAGAAAAUGGCUGCAACCCAGUUACAUUUUUGGCAAUUUAACACAUUUUACUUUGAACUUUUUUAACAGCUGCAAUGUUUUUAUGCAUUGCUUUUUUUAGAUCACCAUAACUCCCUAAAAUAUUGCAGUUCUACUUUAACAUGUGCUAAUCAAGAAUAACAAUUCUGACAUCUACUUCUAUGACUGGUAUUUAGGGUGCAUGUUGAACAGUUAUAAAAACAUGCCAGGAGAGAGAGAACUUCUCAAACCCCUUGUAGUUAUCAAACAGAAGUGAAGUUGGCAACGGUGGCCAAAAAGUAUCGAAAUCUUAUUUUAUUCUGGCACAAGAUAUUGUUGAUUUUGCUUUUUUGAAUAUUGUGUAUUAUAACAACUUAAGAAUUGAAUCUGCGCUGAAGGAAAAGCAGAAUGUUUGAUAAAAGGGGCAGGCUCUGACGUGCAUUACAAUUAAUGCUGAAAAGCAGCAUCAUAAUAUUUGAAAUUACUAAACAUACUCUAAAAGGCCAUUUAUGUCUUUUAAAGUUCAGCAUUUUCGCAAAAUUUGUUUUUUAAUGUUUAAUAUAUUGCAAAAAACUUUCAAAAGAGAAAAAAACAAACUUUUGAAUAUAUUCCGUUCACAUUGCUUUGACCAAAUAUAAGAUCCAGAAACUAGUGUUCCCACAGAGUUUAAGGUUCAACAUCACAAGGAUGCAUAGUUUACUGUUAUUAUGAAUGUUAUAAUUCUGUUUAAUUUUAACAGUAUGUUGGCAGUGUUAUCAAUACAUUUUUUAAUUCUUUAUUGUAUGUUCUGAUUCUCUCUUCCCUCUGGACAACAGUCUGCCAAAUUAAAAAUAUAUAAUGAU